AGUAUUAGAGGUCUGGCCUGCCCAGUGUAAAAAAUUAACGGCCGCGGUAUCCUGACUGUGCAAAGGUAGCAUAAUCACUUGCCCUUUAAAUGGGGGAAUGUAUGAAUGAUUAGACGAGGUUUUGACUGUCUUUUUUCUAAAAACUGAGAUUUCAGUACCUGUGAAAAUGCGGGUGAAAUCAUAAUGGACGAGAAGACCCUGUUGAGCUUUUAAGUUAUACAGCAGUAUGAAUUAAAUUAGAUAAUUCAUUAUUUAUAAAAUACACAUAUCUGGUAAGCUUUUUGGCUGGGGUGGCAAGCAAAGGAAUUAAGCUUUGUUUAUCAAUUGAAAUCUUAAUGUUUGGAGACAGUAUAUGUCAAUAAACUUAAUUUGGAUCCGCUAACUGAGCGAUUAAUAGAAUAAGUUACCACAGGGAUAACAGCGUUAUUCUUCUUGAGAGCUCGUAUUGACAGAGGAGUUUGCGACCUCGAUGUUGGAUCAAGAUUCCUGGUGGUGUAGCAGCUAUUAAGGGUUUGCCUGUUCGGCGAUUAAAAUCUUACGUGAUCUGAGUUCAGACCGUCGUAAGACAGGUUAGAUUCUAUCCUUAAAUUUAUGCGUUUAGUACGAAAGGACCAACAGCAUGUGAUUUUAAGUUUUUAUUAAAUCAUA
rnacentral:rRNA from 1 species